CCGGUCCCAUCCCGAACCCGGAAGCUAAGCCCUCCAGCGCCGAUGGUACUGCACUCGCCAGGGUGUGGGAGAGUAGGUCGCCGCCGACA
rnacentral:rRNA from 1 species